GGAAAAGUGGUGUUUUCAAAGCAAAAAUGAAAUGAAAACCAGCCUGCCCCGUCCCUCCCUCCCCCAGUGCAAUGUUAUUUGGGAAGUGGGGCCUCUGGUUUGAAGCGCUUGAAGCACAGACACAUCUUUCUCUUUAUUCCCUCCACGUUGCUGCUCCUUCCUUUGCUUCCAUUUCCCUUAUUUUCGUUAUGUCUCAAGUCCAUUCCCAGCCGUCUCACACAGCCCUUGCUCCCCACGUCCCCUGUAGGGUGUAGGGUGUCAGGAGAGGUCUGUUGAAGGGUUUAGUGCGUUAAGUCCCUGUUUUUCCAGUUCUGUUUUUGCUGUCUCAGAGCUGAAGCUCUCUAUAGAAACUUUGUGCUUUUUACAUGAAUUAGGCUUUAUAAUUAAUGCCCACUUCCCUGGGUCUGUGCCUGUGCGCUGAGGUCCUGCCUGUGCAUAGGAAGGAAAGCAGAUGGCUUCCCAGGAGCUGCUGGUUUAACUAUGGCUGGGGAGCCUGUUUGCAUUGGCAGCUUGCUAAAACCCUUGUGUCCUACUGCACAUCCCGGCCCCUCCGUUUGCGGAGGUGAUGCUGUGCUGCAGUCCCAUGCCUGCAGGCUGGAUUUAACACUGAGGUUUGGGCAGUGCUGCACAAGCUUGUGUGUGUCAGCUUGGAUGUGGUGUCCUGAGCAUCUAUGUCUGAGGAACAUGAAUGGCUGUGCACAGAGGAGCUGUGGCUGCCCCAUCCCUGGCAGUGUUCAAGGCCAGGUUGGACACAGGGGCUUGGAGCAACCUGCUCUAGUGGGAGGUGUCCCUGCCUGUGGCAGGGGGCUGGAACUGAAUGCAUGUCAAGGAGUGGGGCUGAGACCAAAGGGAUGCUGCAGAAUGUGAGGAGGAUGGAGCUGGUGCUGUGGAUCAGUGACCACGAGAUGCUGUGUCUGUGCAUUGUGCGAGGAGCUCUCACAUGGGUUCAGUCGAGCCAAAAUACUCUUUCAGAGAGAGAAGGGACCAGAUGUCUUAUUAUUGCUGCUGACAAUGCUGCCCCUGAGUGCAGUGAUCCAUCAGGGGCUCGGCGCAGCCCCACAGACAAGUCCCUGACAUGAUUUUAGAGCAGGGCCAGGUUCUCACCACUUGUGUGCAUUUGUACCCCCUGACAAAUAGCUGUUUGACUCUGGUUUUGUUCAAAGCCUUGGUGGUGUCAAGCACAGGGCUCCUAUUCAAGUGCCCACCAACAGUGGUCCACAACUCACUGUUUCCUCUUCUUUCAUCGCUUUGUUUCCCUGUGGCAGUCACUGGGAACUUUGUCUUUUUUUAUCUCAUAGGGGUUUUGAAAGACAAAUUUCAAGGAUUUAUCUGCAGCAAAACAGUGCCUCUUAUGAUGACAGUGAAAAUGGUUUGGGGGUGCAUGUGUGAGGAAUCCCGUCUGCAUGGAUAUGUUGCUGAUGUGACACUUGAUUGCUCUUUAUUUUGUUGGUAUGUUUUUAAAUAUAUAUUUGAUGUAUAGAAUUGUCAGGCAAAGACUCAUAAGCAUUGAGAAAUGCAGCUCUCUACAGCGGGCCAGCCUCUCCUUAAUAGUGGUUCUUCUUCAAUGUGGGAGAUGUGCUCCUGACUGCUCUGAGCACCUUGGCUGGGGAGGAGGAUUAGUGCCAGGUGCUUGUCCUGCUGUAUAAACCUGCACAGGGAGCGUUUUCCAUCAUUUGGAGCCUGAAGGGAAAGAGGAUUUAUGGAAUGGGGAGCGUGAGGCACCAGCUCAGCAAAUACCAAAGCAUCUAUGUAAGCGUUUGUACGUUGGAGACGUAAGUACACAAGUGGUCUUGAUCUUAAGCCACUCCGUACUGCUGGGUCCAAAGGCUGAACUGGGAACACGCAAUACAGUUUGUAUGCUGGCAUUUUGAGAUGUCUUCUCUAAGGAGAGGUUUCUCUGUGCUGUGAUUUCGCAUCUUCUUCCAAUCACUCUCAGUCUGUUUAGCAGACUUACAGCCCCUCAGCACAUGCUGAAUGUCACAUCGUCAGUGCAGUCGAUUAAUCAUUUUCUUAUGGUCUUAGCCUCAAUUCUCUUAAAUUUUGGCAAGGACAUUGUAAUAUCUGACCUAUUAUUGUUUCUCUCUCCUUCUGACCUGCUGAUGUCCCCCAGCUAUAGGUGGCAUUAUGGAGGUCUUUGGUGGCCCUUCCAAUACUCUUGUACUUUAGAGAUCAGCUUUCACUGCAGCCUUCAAAGUCAGCUCUCAACACAUUGCUAGCUUCUUUCUAUGCAGGUGAAGCCAUGAGUGAGUGUGUGUGUGUGUGUGUGUCUUGUGGCCGAUAAUGGGAGCAUCUUCACUGGUAAUUGUAAAGUCAGGAUCUGUAAUUAAUUCUUCUAUAAAGCUCUCAACCUCAAGGUGAGCCUUUAUGCAUCUAUUAGUGCAGGGGAGGGACACACUUGUCUAGAGGCAGAAGACGGGAGCAGGGAGGAAAGAGAACUGGUUCCUUUGUUUGAAUGAUAAAUAUUGUUCCCUUCAUGCCUCAAACAAAAUGAGAGUGUGGCUAAAACCAGUGAGAUUUGACCUCUCAGAACACAGACUUCAAAAGGAUUGGAGAAAAUAGUCCUGGAGCAGGCACUGGAAACCCCAUCCUGCAGAUUCCUCUCAUUCCAAGAUGUGAGGCUCAGGAGCACACGCACGUGCUCGGGUUCCCCUGUUAACCCCCAGGAGCUGUGGCUUAGGGAAAAGCACCAAAUACUGCAAGAGCUGUUAACACUUCAUUAUUUGCAUAAGUGGUUUUUUACCCCCACUCCCCCACCCCCCUUUCUUUUUUAAUAGCAGCUUGGAAACAGUUUAAAACUCUUUCCAUGGAAAGCUCUGUCAGAGAAGAGAUGGUUUUGUCACAAACCUUCAUGCUGAACUGAUUAUAUAGCCCGAUGUACUGGAGCCUUCCCUGGAAGGAGAACUUGAUGUACCUCCAUAUACACUUAACAGGCAACAGGACUUGUUCUGCCAGAUUCAAAGGAAAGAGAGGAGUCCCCUAGGGGUGAGAGUAAUCUCUAACAAAAGCAGAUAGUGUCUGACAAAUCUAAUUAGUAUUGAGGAUUCAGAGCGUGCUGAGCUGGAGAGCGUGGUGAUAUGGCCCUGUGUUAGUAAGGAUACGUGCUUGAGGACCAUGCAGCUUUGCCAAAGGAGAAAUGCAGAUCAAGGAAAAGCUGAAGUAGAUGCUCAAGUAUUUGUUGGUUGGAUGGACUAGCUAAAGACAGAAGGGGCAAACAAACCACAAUAAUCAAAAGCUCUUUCAGUUG